GGGCUUCGAACUCGAGCUCAAAUACGGCGUAGAGGCAACAUAACCGAGAAAAUUAUGAGCGGUGCUUUGCCAAGAUAUCUGGCCGUCAAAUUGACAACUCGAGCAGAAAUGCUGGAGAAGGACCAAGGUAUUACCUUGGCCCUUCUCGAGUUCGAAGCCUGACGGCCAGAUGUCACAACAGCGCUCAUCGUUCGCCCGGUCAUGUACCUCUACGCCGUGCGUGUGUUUACAUCAACGAGGCUU